rnacentral:lncRNA from 1 species
GCAAGUCAAACAGUUUUCAAACAUCAUUUAUCUCAAAAUAUUUGAUAAACUCAUAACAUCAUCAAAUCAUUUUAGAAAGCUCAUAUGAUAUAAGAAUACUCAAAAUAUUGCCCACCUGAAGUCCUUCGCUCAAGCUUGGAAAGAAAACAGGCGACUUACUUCUUCGUCUCGCUCGGGCCUUCAUAUAUCAUCAUCAUCGUCAUCGAAGGUUCAUGUGAUAAAAUAAACCUCAGUUAGAAACUCAUUUA